rnacentral:rRNA from 1 species
GUUUGAUCAUGGCUCAGAACGAACGCUGGCGGCGUGGAUUAGGCAUGCAAGUCGAACGAGAUCCUGGGUAUCCAAGUAGCAAUAUGAGGAUGUCCUGGUGACAGUGGCGAAAGGGUGAGGAACACGCGGGUAAUCUGCCCUCAAGUUGGGGAUAGCUCUGCGAAAGCGGAAUUAAUACCGAAUGUGGUCGUCCUUCACAUGAAGGAUUAUCCAAAGCCGGGGACCGCAAGGCCUGGCGCUUGAGGAUGAGCCCACGUCCUAUCAGCUUGUUGGUGAGGUGACGGCUUACCAAGGCGAUGACGGGUAGCUGGUCUGAGAGGAUGGUCAGCCACACUGGGACUGAGACACUGCCCAGACUCCUACGGGAGGCUGCAGUCGAGGAUCAUUCGCAAUGCGCGAAAGCGUGACGGUGCGACGCCGCGUGCAGGAUGAAGGCCUUCGGGUCGUAAACUGCUGUCAUGAGGGAACAAUGUCCGGGAUGCCAACACCAUCUCGGGGUGAUAGUACCUCAAGAGGAAGCCACGGCUAACUCUGUGCCAGCAGCCGCGGUAAUACAGAGGCGGCGAGCGUUGUUCGGAUUUACUGGGCGUAAAGGGUGCGUAGGCGGUUCUGUGUGUCGGAUGUGAAAUCUCACAGCUUAACUGUGGAAUUGCAUUCGAAACUACAGGGCUGGAGUACAGGAGAGGAGAGCGGAAUUCUCGGUGUAGCGGUGAAAUGCGUAGAUAUCGAGAGGAACACCGGUGGCGAAGGCGGCUCUCUGGACUGAUACUGACGCUGAGGCACGAAAGCUGGGGGAGCAAACAGGAUUAGAUACCCUGGUAGUCCCAGCCCUAAACGGUGUGCACUUGGUGUGGGGAGGGAUUGUCCCUUCCCGCGCCGG